rnacentral:rRNA from 1 species
GACAGAGGGUGCAAACGUUGUUCGGAAUUACUGGGCGUAAAGCGCGUGUAGGCGGCUAAGCAAGUCGGGCGUGAAAUCCCACCGCUCAACGGUGGAAGUGCACCCGAAACUGCAUAGCUAGAGUCCUGGAGAGGAAGGUGGAAUGCUUGGUGUAGAGGUGAAAUUCGUAGAUAUCGAGCGGAACACCGGUGGCGAAGGCGGCCUUCUGGACAGUGACUGACGCUGAGACGCGAAAGCGUGGGGAGCAAACAGG